GACGAACGCUGGCGGCGUGCUUAACACAUGCAAGUCGAACGGAAAGGCCCUGCUUUUGUGGGGUGCUCGAGUGGCGAACGGGUGAGUAACACGUGAGUAACCUGCCCUUGACUUUGGGAUAACUUCAGGAAACUGGGGCUAAUACCGGAUAGGAGCUCCUGCUGCAUGGUGGGGGUUGGAAAGUUUCGGCGGUUGGGGAUGGACUCGCGGCUUAUCAGCUUGUUGGUGGGGUAGUGGCUUACCAAGGCUUUGACGGGUAGCCGGCCUGAGAGGGUGACCGGCCACAUUGGGACUGAGAUACGGCCCAGACUCCUACGGGAGGCAGCAGGGGGGAAUAUGGCACAAUGGGCGGAAGCCUGAUGCAGCAACGCCGCGUGCGGGAGGACGGCCUUCGGGUGGUAAACCGCUUUCGCCUGUGACGAAGCGUGAGUGACGGUAAUGGGGAAAGAAGCACCGGCGAACUACGU
rnacentral:rRNA from 1 species